GUGGGGAAUUUUGGGCAAUGGGCGAAAGCCUGACCCAGCGACGCCGUGUGAGGGAUGAAGGCUCUCGGGUCGUAAACCUCUGUCAGGGGGGACGAACGCUUCCCGGUGAAUAGCCGGGGAGUCUGACGGUACCCCCAAAGGAAGCGCCGGCUAACUCCGUGCCAGCAGCCGCGGUAAUACGGAGGGCGCAAGCGUUGUUCGGAAUCACUGGGCGUAAAGCGCGUGUAGGCGGUCGGGAAAGUCGGGUGUGAAAGCCCCGAGCUCAACUCGGGAAUGGCACCCGAAACUUCUCGGCUAGAGUCCCGGAGAGGAGGGCGGAAUUCCCGGUGUAGGGGUGAAAUCCGUAGAUAUCGGGAGGAACACCUGAGGCGAAGGCGGCUCUCUGGACGGUGACUGACGCUGAGACGCGAAAGCGUGGGGAGCAAACAGG
rnacentral:rRNA from 1 species